rnacentral:rRNA from 1 species
UACGUAGGGGGCAAGCGUUGUCCGGAUUUAUUGGGCGUAAAGAGCGUGUAGGCGGUUUGGUAGGUCCGUUGUGAAAACUCGAGGCUCAACCUCGAGACGCCGGCGGAAACCAUCAGGCUAGAGUCCGGAAGAGGAGAGUGGAAUUCCUGGUGUAGCGGUGAAAUGCGCAGAUAUCAGGAAGAACACCCGUGGCUAAGGCGGCUCUCUAGUACGGUACUGACGCUGAGACGCGAAGGCGUGGGGAGCGAACGGG